CAACUACUCCCUCCGUUUCAAAUUACUCGUCACAGAAAUGAAUGUAUCUAAAACUAAAAUACAUCUAGAUACAUCCAUUUUUGCGACAAGUAAUUCGAAACGAAGGGAGUAGUAC
rnacentral:pre_miRNA from 1 species